rnacentral:tmRNA from 1 species
ACGUACCAAUCUAUAACUCUAUGGUGGUAUGUAGAACCUACAUCACUGAUAUGAGGAACGCAGUACAAUUUUUUGUGGUCAAGCCUGGAAACAGGAGAAAGAUUGUGCAUAUGUUGGAAAGUAUUGAGGAGAUGCCUGAAACCCCACAACAGUUGUAUUUUUGUGGUGGACGUGGGUAUAAGAUGAUAGGGGCUGGGCUCUCCCUCUUCUUUUUUGCAGCCAUAGUGGCGCUGGCCAGUAAACUAGUAUGGUGAUGGGGGCCUUGGACUAUCUGCGCUUGAUGAAUAUUUCAGUGGAUGAGUUUAGAAGCUUUUGUAUCUAUGGCCACCUCAGUGGGCAGCGUGGAUGGGGUGAGCUGUUGUUGAGCAAUCUUUCAUUUAAAAGAGCAGUGUGCCAUAUACUGAAAAUACAGUGUGAGACUAAGAAGAGGUGGACAAACAAGGUAUUGGUGGCGAAUAGUGCGUUGUCCCUACUGACCCUCUUCAGGAUGGUUCUUCAUGAAUGUGUUUUUUCACACAAAUAUUUUAUACCUGACAGGAUCGAGGACAUGUGUUUCCCGCUGACCAAAAUACUCACUGUGCCCUUCCUCAAGGCCCUAGAUCUGUAUCUCUCCCAGUUUUCCAUCUCAUGCAAGUUUCCCAUAAUUAAAAUAUCCACUGUGAAUCCUACCCUUCUGGCGUUUACCAAGAAGAAAUAUCUGGCUAGUGUUGUGUCUGAUCAACCCAUCGAGGUCCCUGCUCCAUCUGCCCGGCCUGAUCCUGUGAGGUUUACUGCUGCGGUGCCCUUAGCUUCUGAUGAGCAGUCUCUGGUGAAAGCUUUACAUUCCAGUACCGGGACAGUCCAGUGUGGAAAUCCAUUUUAUUAUAUGAUGACCAGACUUUGCUUGUAUGGACUAAUGCAUGGUAGGGGGGGAAUUGUGCCAGUUUCCAGCUCUAGUAAGCAGAGUGUAUAUGAUGUGGCUAUAAGAUUUAUAGGUUCUAGGAUAUUGAGCCCGAUAGUGAGGCUGCCAAUUUUAUCCAGGGCUUUGGCAGACCUGGCGCUGACGGGGCACGGUCAUCAGAUAACAGUGUGUAAUGAAUGUGGCCACUGUUUAAAUUUGGGCAGGGAUAAAUUUCUUGCAGUAAAUUUUUCCCCCACAAGUAUGUUUUAUUGCAGAGAUCAAAAGGAGAAACAGUUUAACAUAUGUGCUACAACUGGGAGGAUCUAUUGUUCAUAUUGUGGGGCGACAGAGUUUACAGUGUAUGACAUGGUGGGAAGGUAUGCUACGGGGGAGCCUUUUAUUAGGGCGGUUUCCUCAGCUAACUCCCUUAGUAUUUUAGAUAAUAGCGAACAGGAGUGUGAUAUACUGAUCCCUUGUUUUGGUAAAUCUAGGUCUUGCAGUAUUAAGCUGAGGGCGACAUUUAGGGAGCUACUUUAUUUGACAGCGUCUGUUGAUAAUUUUAUUUGUCAAAAGUGUUCCAAUAAGGGUGAUGAAUAAAGACAGGGUCAAAGCUCCAGCUUUCCACCCAGAGCUCCAUAACAAGCUUUUGGAAAGGCUUAAGGCUGCCUAUGGAAAGGACAGUAUUGGCAAAGACCCAGAAGAAGCCCCAGUUCCCCUGUUGUUGCAUACCUGUGCAGUUAGAUUCUAUGAAGAGUACAAAGAAUUGACACGUGAUAACACAUUGCCUACAUUGGUAAACAAGAAAGGAUUCCCGGGGGAUGCCAAAAUGAUGGACCCUGUCUUGGGUAUCUAUCACUCUGGAAAAAAACAGGGAGCAUCAAGUGUCCCUUCCUCUUCUGGAGCAUUUGACGGAGGGAGCCACGGUGGCCCUCUACCUUCUGUUGAUCUUCCUCAAAGGGAGGGAGGCCUGUGGUACGGACUGGGCCCUGACAAGUCUGGACUGGGUUUUGUGCUCCCCUCUGAUCCAGGGUCUAUGUCUGACGGGAACAGCUUUAGGGUUAUUCCAGACCCCUCAUCUCUAACAGACAAGGAUGACCAGAACUUGGGGGAAUCGACCAAAACAAGGAGUGGAAAUGGAAAGAAAAAGUAGACCCUUGACCAAAGACUGUUAAAUGUAAAGCUGUUUUAUUCUUUUUAGAGUAGACAGCAUAUAUGAUGAAUGGUCGUGUACACUUUUGAUUAUCUUCUCAAUAAAUAAUAAUACAUUA